rnacentral:rRNA from 1 species
GACGAACGCUGGCGGCGUGCUUAACACAUGCAAGUCGAACGGAAAGGCCCUGCUUUUGUGGGGUGCUCGAGUGGCGAACGGGUGAGUAACACGUGAGUAACCUGCCCUUGACUUUGGGAUAACUUCAGGAAACUGGGGCUAAUACCGGAUAGGAGCUCCUGCUGCAUGGUGGGGGUUGGAAAGUUUCGGCGGUUGGGGAUGGACUCGCGGCUCAUCAGCUUGUUGGUGGGGUAGUGGCUUACCAAGGCUUUGACGGGUAGCCGGCCUGAGAGGGUGACCGGCCACAUUGGGACUGAGAUACGGCCCAGACUCCUACGGGAGGCAGCAGUGGGGAAUAUUGCGCAAUGGGCGGAAGCCUGAUGCAGCAACGCCGCGUGCGGGAUGACGGCCUUCGGGUUGUAAACCGCUUUCGCCUGUGACGAAGCGUGAGUGACGGUAAUGGGUAAAGAAGCACCGGCUAACUACGUG